rnacentral:lncRNA from 1 species
GGAGGCAGAGGCAGGUGGAUUUCUAUGUUCAAUCUAGUCUGAUCUACUAAAAGAUUCAAAACAAUAUUCUUUGGAUUUGGGGGAGAGAAAUCUUUGAAUUUUUCUCUUUUUCUUUUUUUGGUGGGGUAAAAUCAGUAAACAUCUUCCCUUGGUUCAGGGGCUGCGAAGAUGGCUCGGUGAUGAAGAGCGAGCUCUUGCUCCUCUUGCGGAGGACCAGAGUUCAUUUCCCAGCAUCCCUCAUGGAGGCUCAUAACUACCUGUCCUGCAACUCCAGUUUCCGGAGAGCUGGCGCCCUCUGCUGGCCUCCUUGGAACCUUAAUGCAUGUGGUGUACACGCUUACACUCAGGCACACACACAUACAUUAAAAAAAAAAAAACAAUUUAGCCAUGUCUAAUGGCAAACACCUUUAAUCUCAGUACUUGGGAGGCAGAGACACAUGGAUCUCUGCAUUUGAAGGCAGCCACAGCUACAAUCUUAAAAUGCACAAACUACUGGGGUUUGGUGGUGCAAAUCUGUGAUCCCAGUGCUGGGGGAAAUUGCCAGAAGCUUGCGACCUGCUUAGACUUCAUAGAAUUCCCAAUCAGUUUUGGCCACAUUCAGAGAUUUGUCUC